UACGAAGGGGGCUAGCGUUGCUCGGAAUCACUGGGCGUAAAGGGCGCGUAGGCGGAUUAAUAAGUCAGGGGUGAAAUCCCGGGGCUCAACCUCGGAAUUGCCUUUGAUACUGUUAGUCUUGAGAUAGGAAGAGGUAAGUGGAAUUGCGAGUGUAGAGGUGAAAUUCGUAGAUAUUCGCAAGAACACCGGUGGCGAAGGCGACUUACUGGUCCUUAUCUGACGCUGAGGCGCGAAAGCGUGGGGAGCAAACAGG
rnacentral:rRNA from 1 species